AAGAGAAUUGGUAAUUAGCUCCCCAAAUAAACAUAUCAGAUCGUGAUUAGUCUUUCUAUCGGUAGUUCCCUUCUCCGAUUCUUCACCGACUUCAUCAACCUCCUCCCUCUUUGUCGACCCCUCCUUCCUCCCUCUAACAACCACCCUACAUCUAUCAACAACCACCGCCUUCAUUGAAGAUUCUCCGAUGAUUGAUAGAUUUAACAUCGCGAUGGUUGCGUCAUUCUUCCCUCUCGAAGUUUCGUACCCUAAUAAAUCAGCCAGAGGUCCAAUCGCUCCGAACCUCCCGAUUCUCCUUCGCCUCUAAGCUUCCGGUCUCUGAGCCAGGUGACGACUCGAUGUUCGGAAGCAGCAACAUCGUCCGUUCAAUCCAGAGUCGUCACUUUCUCGCCUUCAGAUCUGGAUCCACAACCGAUCCAUAUUUCAUAGUCGUUAUCAUCAAUCGACAUGGAAUCCAAAAUCCUCCAAUGAUCUAGGCUUAAUUGUCGUUGAUCAUCAACAAUUCAUGCUUAAUUGUUGUACGAAUCGAUACUUUCUUCCAAGUUCAAACCCUGCACUUCUGUCGUCGACCAUCCACAAAUCGAUCUACCUUCCACCACUGGUCACCCAAAUCGACUCUCUUUUGUACCCAACCAAUCAUCAACAAUCCGGGGUCGACGUCCCACAAGCGGAGACGAGGCAGACGAUCGCCCCACCCCGACGUCACUUCUUCCAAGAAUCACUGCUUCAUCCUGGAUCUCCAUCGGCUUUUACGUUUUCAUCUAGAUAGAUCUUCAUCCAACACCUCAUCUCUCCAGCGACUGGAAACUUCCUUUGCAUCUCUUUGUUGUUUCGAUGGUCGUUACCACCGCUUAACCACCGACCAACUAUGCUAACCCCUUUUUCUCAUAAAGCUGGCUUCAAGUGUUCAACUUGGGCUAAAACCCUUCAGAAUCACCGAAUUUCUCCACCGCAUUUGUUUCUGGGUAUUUCCAUAUUGUUCAAUUCAAGCUCUCCGUUCGUCAAUCACAUAACCACUGCACUAACUGCACAACUGGUGGCACUCAAUAGCGGCGGUGCUAAUCAUCGGAGGGUGCAGCGACGGUGUUCUACCCUGCGGCUUCACUCUUGAGAGCUUUCAUCUUGACAACGCCUUAUGUUCCAACAAUCUACGAGAAUUUGUGUGAGAAAUCGGCGGAAAGACUUACGCACCUAACUUCUCACCACCAUCACCGACUUCAUAAUUACCCUAUUUAGUUCUUAAAAUCGACCCUGUGUGAGGAUUUCGAAUCAGGUUAUGUGAGGAGGAUGACUCAUCGUAUCCCAGGAAUACAAUUCGGUUAUAUGCACCCAGUUGGUUUUGAGAUUUCAAUGAUCCAAUUCCAACAUGAUUCAUAGCAACCAUCAACCCUCAGACAAUGAAAGACGGAACAGUGAUAUGAUGGAUUCUCCUUCUGGAAUUGAGAGAUAGAUUACUAACAUCCGACGGAGUUGAUGUAUUGAAUGACUAUCAUGAGAUGUAGAUAACAGCACAUUUUUGGGAACAAAAACAAAAAUGCGCCAAGUUGACACUCUCUUCUCUAUUUGAUAGUAAUCAUAUGAUUAAGUGCUUGAUGGGAAUAUGGGCCAAUUAUAAUCAUAUGAAUAAGGAAACUCUGGGAAUGCACUAGAUUGGAGGGAAGCUUUAUCACUGAAGAACGCCAUUGAAGAUCAUAUCACAAAAGACACACAAAGGGACACAUAAGUUACUAUGUAACUUGGAAAAAAGAAGAGGACCCUGAUGUGUUUACAAGCUACACAUUGCUGGGUGGUGUCAUUUCCUGAUAUACAUUUUCUGCUAAAUGGAAUUCUUAUCUUUAUCUUUUCAACCUAUAGUUGAAGGAUGCCUCCGCGUAGGAACCCAAGGCGAAACAACGGUGGGGAAGCACCUAUACCACCACCACCUCCACCUCCUCAAUUUGAUGCUGUCAUGUUCCAAGCAGCAGUCACCGCAGCGGUAGCAGCUGCCAUGUCAUAGAUCAAUAACUCGAGUACUACUGGCUCGGGAACUGGCACACACCUAUCCAACCAUGGCGAGAGUCAUGGGCAACCCUGAGAAUGCACCUAUAAGGACUUUACUAAUGCCAAACCCCGGAUGUUUUAUGGAACUGGUGGCGUGAUGACUCUGAGGCAGUGGAUCGAAAGGAUAGAAUCAGUCUUUGAAAUCUGCUCCUGUCCCGAGCACAGCAAAGUCAAGUUUGCAACCUUCACCCUUAUUGAUAGAGCUUUAGCUUGGUGGAAUGGCUACGUUAAGGUACUUACCCUGAUAGUGGCAAACUCCAUAAGCUGGGAGUGCUUAAAAGUCAUGUUGAUGAGAGAAUACUGUCCACAAUGAGAGAUUCAAAAACUCGAGCACGAACUCUGGCAAUCCUCUGUCCAGAUAUGAUUGCUCCUGAAAGCAAGAAAAUAGAGAGAUACAUUUGGGGACUGUCGCCCCAAAUUCGGUCAAGCGUGAUAGCUUCGAAACCUGACACUUUUGAAAGUGCCAAGGAACUGGCACAAUCUCUUGUUGACUACGGAGGCCAUCAGAACUCGACGGUUGCUACACCAGAACCACAAAAGGGAAACAACAACAACAACAACAACAACAAUAACAAGAAGAGGGUAUGGAAUAAUGUGACAACCCGAUAUUUCGAGUCAAUGUAAUGUAAAACCAAUCAAAUUUAGGUCAAAAUGUAACCUUCCAAAAAUCUUAUUCGGAUUAAAUAAAGUAGUAGGAAUCAUAUCAA